rnacentral:rRNA from 1 species
GUAGGUGGCAAGCGUUGUCCGGAAUUAUUGGGCGUAAAGCGCGCGCAGGCGGUCCUUUAAGUCUGAUGUGAAAGCCCACGGCUCAACCGUGGAGGGUCAUUGGAAACUGAGGGACUUGAGUACAGAAGAGGAAAGCGGAAUUCCACGUGUAGCGGUGAAAUGCGUAGAGAUGUGGAGGAACACCAGUGGCGAAGGCGGCUUUCUGGUCUGUAACUGACGCUGAGGCGCGAAAGCGUGGGGAGCAAACAGGAUUAGAUACCCUGGUAGUCCACGCCGUAAACGAUGAGUGCUAAGUGUUAGGGGGUUUUCCGCCCCCCUUAGUGCUGCAGCUAACGCAUUAAGCACUCCGCCUGGGAGUACGACCGCAAGGUUG